rnacentral:rRNA from 1 species
UACGGAGGGUGCAAGCGUUGUUCGGAUUUAUUGGGCGUAAAGCGCGUGUAGGCGGUUUCUUAAGUCUGAUGUGAAAGCCCUGGGCUCAACCCAGGAAGUGCAUUGGAUACUGGGAGACUUGAAUACGGGAGAGGGUAGUGGAAUUCCUAGUGUAGGAGUGAAAUCCGUAGAUAUUAGGAGGAACACCGGUGGCGAAGGCGGCUACCUGGACCGAUAUUAACGCUGAGACGCGAAAGCGUGGGGAGCAAACAGG